UACGUAGGGCGCAAGCGUUUGUCCGGAAUUAUUGGGCGUAAAGAGCUCGUAGGCGGCUUGUCGCGUCGACUGUGAAAACCCGCGGCUCAACUGCGGGCCUGCAGCCGAUACGGGCAGACUAGAGUUCGGGUAGGGGAGACUGGAAUUCCUGGUGUAGCGGUGAAAUGCGCAGAUAUCAGGAGGAACACCGGUGGCGAAGGCGGGUCGCUGGGCAACAACUACGGCUGAGGAGCGAAAGGCGUGGGGAGCGAACAGG
rnacentral:rRNA from 1 species